rnacentral:rRNA from 1 species
CAGUCGAGCGGAACGAGUUGUCUGAACCUUCGGGGAACGAUAACGGCGUCGAGCGGCGGACGGGUGAGUAAUGCCUAGGAAAUUGCCCUGAUGUGGGGGAUAACCAUUGGAAACGAUGGCUAAUACCGCAUAAUGCCUACGGGCCAAAGAGGGGGACCUUCGGGCCUCUCGCGUCAGGAUAUGCCUAGGUGGGAUUAGCUAGUUGGUGAGGUAAUGGCUCACCAAGGCGACGAUCCCUAGCUGGUCUGAGAGGAUGAUCAGCCACACUGGAACUGAGACACGGUCCAGACUCCUACGGGAGGCAGCAGUGGGGAAUAUUGCACAAUGGGCGCAAGCCUGAUGCAGCCAUGCCGCGUGUGUGAAGAAGGCCUUCGGGUUGUAAAGCACUUUCAGUCGUGAGGAAGGUAGUGUAGUUAAUAGCUGCAUUACUUGACGUUAGCGACAGAAGAAGCACCGGCUAACUCCGUGCCAGCAGCCGCGGUAAUACGGAGGGUGCGAGCGUUAAUCGGAAUUACUGGGCGUAAAGCGCAUGCAGGUGGUUUGUUAAGUCAGAUGUGAAAGCCCGGGGCUCAACCUCGGAAUAGCAUUUGAAACUGGCAGACUAGAGUACUGUAGAGGGGGGUAGAAUUUCAGGUGUAGCGGUGAAAUGCGUAGAGAUCUGAAGGAAUACCAGUGGCG